GCCAGAGAGUAGUCAGGCCGCAUG
rnacentral:siRNA from 1 species